rnacentral:rRNA from 1 species
ACGCUCGACACCUACGGGGGGCAGCAGUGAGGGAUAUUGGUCAAUGGGGGAAACCCUGAACCAGCAACGCCGCGUGAGGGAUGACGGUCUUCGGAUUGUAAACCUCUGUCCUCUGUGAAGAUAAUGACGGUAGCAGAGGAGGAAGCUCCGGCUAACUACGUGCCGGCAGCCGCGGUAAUCUGAGCGGGCUGGCAAGGC